UAUUUUCCUAGCUUUUUCUUCUUCUUGGCUCAGGUGAGAGAGGCUUGCUCCUGAAAAAUACAAUCCAUGCCCUUUUUUUAUAUCAAAAGGAUAAAAGAAAGAGGAGAGGAGGAAGUACCGAAUCGCUAGAUGAAAAAAAAUGGAGGCUCAUAAGAGAAGACAAUGAUGCAGGAGAGGGGCCGUCUCUCGCAAUGGACGAUGGGAAAGGGUGACUUGCUGUGAAACCGUUGUUGGAUGAUUUCUUCAUGACUCGAUCCAACUUGCUAUGUUUUUUGCCCUCGCUUGCAAAUGGUUGCUUAUGAUCUUCUCCGUAGACAUUCCAGCUUCAGUUAUCGUGCGCAAAGUCAUCCCAUAAACUCAGCUCAUGUGUUACUGUAGUCGAUGUUGAUUCUCACAUGAAGCUUCUGAACAUUUAAACAAAGCUUUCGAAUGCACCUUUAAUUUUGCUUGGCGUCAAUGUCAAUUCUUUGUUUUA